UACACUUUAAAUCCUUUAACGAGGACCCAUUGGAGGGCAAGUCUGGUGCCAGCAGCCGCGGUAACUCCAGCUCCAAUAGCGUAUAUUAAAGUUGCUGCGGUUAAAAAGCUCGUAGUUGGAUAUCGGUCUUGGUCGGGUGGUGCCGCCUUGCGGUGGUCACUGCCUCGAUCGGACAAUCCAUCGGAUCGUUCGGGGUGCUCUUAACCGAGUGUCCUGGGUGGCCGAUACGUUUACUUUGAACAAAUUAGAGUGCUUAAAGCAGGUGCACCGCGCCUGUAUAUCACAGCAUGGAAUGAUGGAAUAGGACCUCGGUCUUAUUUUGUUGGUUUUCUGGACUCGGAGGUAAUGGUUAACAGAGACAGACGGG
rnacentral:rRNA from 1 species